CGGGCACCUACCGAAAAGCUCCAAAGGCGAAAGUCCGCUGGGAAAGGCGGCUGGGUCAGCCGGCAUCGUCAUCUGCACCUGGUGCUGCUGUCGGGUGCUGCUCAGUGUAGAGAAAGCUUUUUGGUGUGCAGUGUUCCUCGAGUAUUUAUAUGGAACCAGGAACCUCACAGCGCUCUCUCCCUACUGUGACUGCAGGCUACUAGUGACACAGGGCAGUUAUGGGCAUGCGAUGCUACAGCUGGCAGAGAAAUCCAUGCUGACUGCAGAUUAUAGCUGAAUGUUACAGUUUCAGUUCAAACUAUCCUGAUGUAUACUGUUUAAAAUAUACAUGCUUCUCUUAUUCAUCUGAGCACUUCAGCUGUGAAUAUCCAGGCACAUAUUAUCAGUGAGGUAUUGGCAGAGCCAAGAAGCAGAAGACUCAGUCUGCAGAUGCGCCUCUGCAGCAUGCUGCUGUGUGCCUGCCUGCUUCCCAGCCGGUCGCCAGCACCCUGUGGCCUCACCAGCACCCAGCCUGGGCUGAAACAGAAGCGAAUUGGUGCAUCUGAAACCUGACCACCACAUAAGCUUCAGUGACCUGUCAGCCCGCUGAGAAGCACAUUUCAGUUGUGUGGUGUAACGCUGUUCUAGCUGAGACUGACAAAAAUACCAGCGCAUGUCUUCAGAAAAGAUAGAGCAGCAAGAA